AGUCUAUAUUAUACAUUGGUUCAG
rnacentral:siRNA from 1 species